UCAGCCACUCUGACCCCAGCCUGUAUCUCUGCAUGGGGUUGCUGUGGCCAAAGUGCAGCACCCUGCACUGGGAGCUAUACUGGACUGAUUCACCACUGCUCUUCUUACUCCCAGGUGGAGAAGGAAAGGCUCUGGCAAUCAAAGCAUAGGAUAAUUUGGGAAGAAGGAGAAGGUGCAGCUCCACUCACUGGGCACAAGAUUGAUGGCAAUGGGAAAGUAGUGAGACAAACAUCUGCUGGGAGUCGAGAAUGAGCUGCUGGAGCUGUCCAGACCUGGGAAGGAUGGGCUAGGGACUGGCUCUGCUGGCUGCCAGGGGCACCUUGGCUUAAACAGAGAUAAAGACUGCAUCGUCUCUCCUUAAUCUACACAGACAAAGGUUGCCUUUGUUACCUGCUGGGACUCAGACUCGGGGCUUGGCCCAAAGCUCAGGGAUGCAAAUCAACAGACAGCACCUUGGAAACUCCAGGAGCUCAGCCUGGCUGCAGUGCCCAGGAGGCCUACAUCUUAUCUCAGCUGCCCCCAAGGGAAAAGGUUUCUGUGCAUUCAGGGUAUGGACCCCUGCGAGUGCAUGAGAACACACAGGGAGAUGCCCUGGGGAGCUGCAGCUGGACACUGAGCAGAGAACUGGAUAAAAAGGCAGGAGAAUGCCUGCCAGAGUGUGGCACUCCCAGCAGACCACCAGUGGCACUCCCAGCAGACCACCAGUGGCACUCCCAGCAGACCACCAGAGGCAUUCCCAGCAGACCACCAGUGGCACUCCCAGCAGACCACCAGUGGCACCUCUGCCGGACCACCGAGGGCAGAGCAGCACCAGACCCCCAGAGCUGCACCACCCGAGGAAACUCUGGCAAACUCCACAGAAGGUCACCCCUGGGCCACGCACUCGUCUGUCUCUCUCCCCUCCACCUGCGACCGAGGGUAAUAUGAGCACAGCUCUUUUCCUCCCCUUCUCCUUCUUCUCUUCUCCAUCCUUCUCUUCAUCUCUCUCUCCCUUCUCCCCUCUCUGCCUCUGUUUUGCCCAACCUCAUCCUUUAAUAAACAGUUCCCUGCUGA